UGGCGACCGGGUGAGUAAUGUAUCGGAACGUCCCUUUCAGUGGGGGAUAACGUAGCGAAAGUUACGCUAAUCCCGCAUAUUCUGUGAGCAGGAAAGCAGGGGAUCGCAAGCCCUUGCGCUGAUUGAGCGGCCGAUAUCAGAUUAGCUAGUUGGUGAGGUAAAGGCUCACCAAGGCGACGAUCUGUAGCGGGUCUCCCAGGAUGUUCCGCCCCUGGAAUUGAGCCCCGGUCCAGACUCCUACGGGAGGCAGCAGUGGGGAAUUUUGGCCAAUGGGGGCAACCCUGAUCCAGCCAUGCCGCGUGAGUGAAGAAGGCCUUCGGGUUGUAAAGCUCUUUCGUCCGGGAAGAAAUCGCAUCAGCUAAUACCUGGUGGGAUGACGGUUGGGGC
rnacentral:rRNA from 1 species